CCCUACGGGGGGCAGCAGUGGGGAAUAUUGGACAAUGGGCGCAAGCCUGAUCCAGCCAUGCCGCGUGUGUGAAGAAGGCCUUCGGGUUGUAAAGCACUUUUGUCCGGAAAGAAAUCCCAAAGGUUAAUACCUUUUGGGGAUGACGGUACCGGAAGAAUAAGCACCGGCUAACUUCGUGCCAGCAGCCGCGGUAAUACGAAGGGUGCAAGCGUUACUCGGAAUUACUGGGCGUAAAGCGUGCGUAGGCGGUUUGUUAAGUCUGAUGUGAAAUCCCCGGGCUCAACCUGGGACCUGCAUUGGAUACUGGCGAGCUAGAGUACGGUAGAGGGUGGUGGAAUUCCCGGUGUAGCAGUGAAAUGCGUAGAGAUCGGGAGGAACACUCGUGGCGAAGGCGGCCACCUGGACCAGUACUGACGCUGAGGCACGAAAGCGUGGGGAGCAAACAGGAUUAGAUACCCCGGU
rnacentral:rRNA from 1 species